GCCAAUUGAUACCUCAAAAUCCGUCGACUCUCUCUCUCUCUCCCAUCGAGAAGAUGACUCCAAUCUGGCUUGGCCUUGUACUAUUGGAGAUGGCUUUGAUAGUUGUCCUUCGCUUUGAAGAGUUUCUGGGGGAGUGGUUGAUGCUGGCCGUGCUGUUGCUGGAGGGAAGAGGGCGACUUGUCACCCGGACCGUGGCCGCGACUAUGAUGAUCAUAUUCAGUUCGGCAAUUUAUAAAGUCUUGUGCGAUGUAAGACACUUUACCCAUGCAAAUAACCUUGUGGAAGCGUCUCUCAUAGGCUUCUCUCUACUCCUUGGCAUGUUGAUAUGCGGGUUGCACUAUUCCGUUGCGAGGCACUACAUGUUGAGAAUUCUCAGAGGGGCAUUGCUCCAGGAAUUAGCUAGUCCGUGAUAUGGGUGAAGAGAGACCAUGUGUUAAUUGAUUGUAUCCUGGCGCUCUACAUAUUCAUCAGCGACGCAUCGAAAUCCAGGGAUGAUUAUUGCUGGAAGGGUUAGCGAAGACAAAAUUUAUCAUCAUCCCAAUUGUACACGUAAACGCCGCAUUGACCGUUGCUUGAAUCGUCCGGCAAGAGUUGCUUUUCAGCCCUUUCCUUUUCUCGUUAAUUAGAUACCGAUUCAACUCAGACUUCUUCACUUGAUGAAAAAAAAUACGAAGAGGCCCAACACCUGUACAUAAGCAAUGGCUGAACAACAAAACAUUGAUGAGAGAUUGAUCCUCAUGAUAAA